UAGUAUAAAGGUAGGACCUUAUGUUGUGUUUUGUAGUAACUCAAAUUCUUUUAUAUGAAGGUAGCUGAGUCAGAUAUGAAUGCAUGUUAUUGAGGGCAUGUAAAUAAAGAAUAAUACUAACUUAAUAUACUACAUAUAUACUUAAUAACAAUACAAAUAGGUUAUAAUUAUGUCACUAUGGUAUAUGAGAAAGUCAAGUAAAUAUCUAAGUAAUAGGGCAAUGGGAUGUGAGAUAUUAUAAGUAUUUAUAGUUUAAAAACAGUCAAAUCAACGCCAAGCAAACCUAAACUUAAUGACACUGAUUAAAGCUUAUAAUUAAACAAGAGAGACUUACAAGAAGAUUGUGUUUAAUAUGACUACAGAAUAGUGGGAAUCAUAAUGGAAGGAAGACAAAAUAAGAUGCAACGUACGGGUUUUAGCUACAAUAAUUAGUAAGAUUGAAGACUUCUUGACGAUGUUUAUAAUGUAUCCUAUAAAAUAUUCACUCGCCAGAAUCGUCCAAAGAUCCAGUAGAGACAGAUAUCUACUCCAAACCUGGAAUCUGUUACAGAAUAUUAAAGAAAAUUAUGGGAAAACAAAUGUGAAUGACGGACAGAUUUAGCAAGAUGAAAGAUUUAAGCCUACAAGCACGCUACUGUUUCUCACAUCAAAGGUACAUUGUUAAUUAUGAACAUCAAUAGUAAA